rnacentral:lncRNA from 1 species
CAAACUGCAAAGAGUAAAUAAAUAAACUGGGCAUGGUGGUACACAUCUGUAAUCCCAGUGACUUGGGAGGCUAAGCCAGGAGGAUCUCAAGUUUGAGACCAGCCUCAGCAACUUAGAUCCUGUUUCAAAAUAAUAAAUUAAAAGGGAUGGGAAUGUAGCUCAGUGGUAAAGUGCCCCUUGGUUCAAAAAAAGAAUAAACAAAAACCUCAUUACAACCUUGUGAGGUAGGUAACAUUAUUCCUCCACUUUAGGGAUAAAAUCAUGUUGCAAGCAGCAACAUCAUGUGACAACCAAAUCAUUUCUUUCAACUACAUAUCCCAUGUUCAAGCAUGGCACCAAAAAUAAACUAUUGUGACAAUAUAAAUUCCUCUGAAAGAAAUGAAACAGAGAGGGCAUGGGGGUAGAAAUGAUGGUGGAAUGUGAUGAUCAUUAUUAUCCAAAGUACAGGCAUGAAGACACGAAUUGGUGUGAAUAUACUUUGUAUACAACCAGAGAUAUAAAAAAAAAAAUUGUGCUCUAUAUGUGUAAUAAGAAUUGUAAUGCAUUCCACUGU